AACGAACGCUGGCGGCAUGCUUAACACAUGCAAGUCGAACGGAAGGGCCCAUCUUGGUGUCGUACAGUGGCGAACGGGGGAGUAACAUGCGAGUAACUCGGCCUUGACUUCGGGAAAAACUCAGGAAACGGGGGCUUAUACCGGCUAGCAAUCCUUGCUGGAUAGUGGGGGAUCGACAGACUUGGCGGUUUUGGAUGGACUUAAGGCUUAUCAGCUUGUUGGUGGGGUAGUGGCUUACCAAGGCUUCGACGGGUAGCCGGCCUGAGAGGGCGACCGGCCACAGUGGGACUGGGAUACGGCCCAGACUCCUACGGUAGGCAGCGGUGGGGAAUAUUGCACAAUGGGCGGGAGCCUGAUGCAGCGACGCCGCGGGCGGGAUGACGGUCUUCGGGUUGUGAGCCGAUUUCAGUAGGGGCGAAGCUUGUGGUGACGGUACCUGCAGAAGAAGCACCGGCUAACUACGUG
rnacentral:rRNA from 1 species